rnacentral:rRNA from 1 species
UACGUAGGUGGCAAGCGUUGUCCGGAUUUAUUGGGUUUAAAGGGUGCGUAGGCGGUUUUCUAAGUCAGCAUUGAAAUACGGCAGCUCAACUGUCGAGGUGCUGUUGAUACUGGGGAACUUGAGUACUGAUGAGGUAGGCGGAAUGGACGGUGUAGCGGUGAAAUGCUUAGAGAUCGUCCAGAACACCGAUAGCGAAGGCAGCUUACUAAGGAGUAACUGACGCUGAGGCACGAAAGUGUGGGGAUCAAACAGG